AUGAUGUAAUAAUUCCCAUUAACAGCAAAAGAAUAAGCCCAAAGAGCCACCAAAAGUACCAAAAUCUGCACCAUUCUUCAUUCCUACUGUUCCUGGUCUUAUACCACAAUACGCUUCUGUUGAGCAUGAAAGUGAUGGACAGCAGUCAAAAGUGGUAAAUCUUGGAAUAUUGGCUCAAAAAUCUGAAUUCUACUUGCAGCUUGAAGAAGCAUUAAAAAGUAGCAACUAUAAAUCUCCACUGAAUAUUCUGAAGGAUAUGGGACCAUCUAAUAUUGAGACAGAACUGAGAGGCUUGUCACCAGAUGGUGGUGGCUCUAUUGAAGUGAUGCAAAGUUUCCUAAGAAUGAUUGAAGCAAUGCUGAAUACAAAAUGUGACUUUGAACUAGCUCAGGCAUACCUUGCAUUGUUUCUAAAGUUGCAUUUUAAAAUCAUUUGUUCAGAGUCUGCUUUGUUGGCGGAAAUAUCCAGGCUGUCAACCCAACUUGAAGAAAUCUGGAUCCAUUUGCAGACUCUAUUCAACCAAAGCAUUUGCAUUUUAAAUUACAUUAAGACAGCUCUGUUAUAAAGUACCUUUUGUUCUGUAAGAUUCAAGAUGUUGAAUCUUUAAUUUCUUGUACAAAGCACAUCUAAUAAUGGGUAUUGUACAUCAAGUUUUUAAAAUGUUAUCAGUAUAACUUGACUUUUUGUUCAGAUUUAAAUACAAAUCUAGUAUCUUCAUAAACUAGUAAUGUGUAUUCUAUUUAAAUAACUACAAGUAUAAUAAAGUUCUCUGUCUUAAAACAAGUUUAAUAUAGAAAAAAUAUUCAGUAUGCAAAAAUGAAAUAAAUUACAAGGGUUCAUGAAUGUUCUGGGAUUCUUUAAUGUGGAGAGAACUAUCCUAGUGGUUUGAGUGGGGACCAGUGAGAGCCCUUUGAAAUUGUGGGAUAAGAAAAAUGGUAAGAAGUAAAAAUGUGAAUGGUUGAAUGUAGUAAUAAUAAUAAUAAUAAUAAUAAUGUUAGCGUUCAUAACUUUGGUUUUCUAGUCUGCGCUCUCUCAAAGGGCAGAAGGCCAGGAAGGUGGGGCCUGCUGGAUCUCAGGGGCAGAAUGUUCCAGAGGGCAGGGGCAUUUGCCAAAAAGGUGUGCUGUCUAGGUCCCACUAGGUGGCAACAUUUGAGUGAAGGGAGCAAGGCCCCCAUACCCACAGCUGCCACCUGGUCUUCAAGCAGGAGCUGCAAGACCAGGAGGACCCCCAAAUUGUGUACGAGCUCUGUCCAGGGGAACGCAAACCCUGGCAAGAGUCAGUGAUGAUAUCUCAGCCAAACCAAAAACCCAGAGUCACUUUGUCUUGCUAGGUUGGAGUCAAAGCCGAUUCCUCCCCAUCCAGACCCUUACAGCCUCCAGAUACUGGGCCAACACUGGGACAGUGUUGCUUAGUCGGACAGGGGUGGAGUUGUAUAACUGGGUAAUAUUUUUCAACACUGAAAAAUAGUUUUCAGUGUUGGUGGAAGAGCUAAAAAGUGGUGUGAUGUCAGUGUACUUUUUUAUUUCCACCAAAAUUAUUUUGCGUUUUUUCUACUUUGAAUCAUAAAAACUACUUGUUCUCUCUAAUUGCCUUCUAGGAAAAUACUUGUCCACAUUUUAUACAUUUCUAUUUCAGUCAUUUUUUUUGCAUCAUUCUCUUACAUUUUCUUCAUCCUCAUCUUUGAUGUCAUCAUUCUACCAGGCAUUAUUUCUUCUUACUUCCGUUUAAUAUAAUUCCAUAUACUUUGGUGGCAUUUUGGAUUGUAAUUCUUUCACUCUGAUGCAUCUCGCUUAAAUCUACUUUCAUUCAUUCUGUUUUCAUACACAGCUAGUAUUGUCUGUUCUUGAAAUCAUUCUUUUACUCUAGUUUCUUUUACUUCUUUUCUUCCUUGUCCAUUUUUCCCAAGUUCCACUGUUAACACUACCUAAAAAUUGUUUGUCUCACAUUUAGAUCCUUUCAUCACACUUAAAUCUUCACUCUUAGUCUUGAAGCGUAUCUGUGAUGGAAACCAAUCUUGCUUUUAGAUUUAUUCCUUUGCCAUGGUUAUGCAUUAAUAUAAAUGUUUGGACUACAUAUAUGAAAUAUAUCUGUAUAUAUAAUGUGUGUGUGUGUAUACAUACACAUAUACAUACAUACAUAUACACACAUACAGUUCCAAUCAAAGAGUAUAUAUGUAACUCAUGGUUGAACUGUGGAGUCCUUGGUGCUCUCUGAGCUUGGUUGUUUGCAGACUUUCCAUUACCCAGCUACCUUUCCAUUACCCAGCUAGGUGACAUCAUGAGUGCAAAUGAAUGUGGGAUUUGCUACCUGUUUAUAUACAGUAACUUGUCCUGUCAGUGUUGGUGGGGUUUUUCCCUUGGUAGUUCCUUGAUUUGG